UCCAUGUGAUAAUCUUUCACAUAUAUUUAAGAAAUUCAUUUAAAAACUAUUUCUCCUGAUAAAAUCGCAACGAAUUAUAACAAUGCAUUAGACUAAAACUGUUAGCUAAGAAUUAAGUUUCCACUUGUUAUCUAUUAAGUUUCGUAUGUUUUAACUUUCAGGGUCGAAACAAACAAAUACACAGUGACGUCACGCAAAAUGGAGCCAGUAUUGAAAAUACGUCUUCGUACACUUCACUACCACGGCUGGAGUUGGUGUUUUACGCCGCAACAGAAGCAGCUGCAAUAAUGUUUGCUAUCUAUUCUGUGUAUAAUGAUUCCAUAGACAGGUUUACCUGGAUACACCCAUCCUUUACAGAAAAUGGCUGGGCUUGGCUGAAAAGGAAAAAGGAUAUUGCCGAUUUCGAGUGGCAUUUUUGGUACAAGACACUAUGGCUCCUCUUACCAUGGUACGCUGGACAUUUUCUGAUGGGAAACAUUAUGGAACAAAUACUUCCUAAGGUACUUCAGCUUCAAAACAAAAAUAUUUUUUUUUGAACAUUCUAAAUAAAGUGUUUCAUUAACAUAUGGCUAUCAUGUUUAAGUAAUGCAAAAUCUGAUUGAAAUCAGCUCAUAGUUUAGGUACUAGUAGUAAUUAAUCAUUAUUAAAAGCUUUACUGACAUGCAUGAUAAGAAUGUACAAGCUGAGUCUGUGGAUUUAAUGUAACACAAUAGAACCACAACAACAAUUAAUACCAUACAAACGACAAUUAAUUUUUAUACGAAUGCUAUACAGAUUAAGGGAAACAAAUUUUAUAAUGGACAAAUCGUUUAGAAAGUUGUUUGAAUAUUGUCCGUCAGAUCUAUAAUGUUUGCUCUUAAUAUGUAUUUUGUGCUCUCCAUAUAUAUAUAUAUUAUGUUUGCCUUCUGUCAGCUGCCAUGUUACAUGUAUGUAUUUCAUAAUAUAUGCACUUGCUAUACUAUAAUACCUAUUAACUGCUGCUGACACAAUGCGUUGAGUAAAGUCA